UACGGGGGGAGCAAGCGUUGUUCGGAUUUACUGGGCGUAAAGGGCGCGUAGGCGGUCAGCACAAGUCAGUUGUGAAAUCUCCGGGCUUAACUCGGAACGGCCAAGUGAAACUGUCAAGCUAGAGUGCAGAAGGGGCAAUCGGAAUUCUUGGUGUAGCGGUGAAAUGCGUAGAUAUCAGGAGGAAUACCUAUGGCGAAAGCAGGUAUCUGGGCCAUCACUGACGCUGAGCUGCGAAAGCUAGGGGAGCAAACAGG
rnacentral:rRNA from 1 species